rnacentral:tRNA from 1 species
AUAAGAGAGUUAAUUAACAUAAUAGGGCUGCUAACUUUGUUAUAAAUGGGUUGUACCAUUUUUUCUUAUA